rnacentral:rRNA from 1 species
UCCGGAGUUACUGGGCGUAAAGGGCGUGCAGGCGGUCUGAUAAGUUCUGCGUGAAAUAUUCCGGCUUAACCGGGAUAGGUCGUCGGAGACUGUCGGACUAGAGGGUGAUAGAGGCGUGUGGAAUUCCGGGUGUAGUGGUGAAAUGCGUAGAGAUCCGGAGGAACACCAGUGGCGAAGGCGACACGCUGGGUCACACCUGACGCUAAAGCGCGACAGCAUGGGGAGCGAACGGG